rnacentral:lncRNA from 1 species
GUCAUGUGACACAGUUCCCACCAAUGAGACGGGAGCAGCGGUUCUGCAGGGCAUUCUGGGAAAGCUCCCGGAAGGGUGGGCGGCUGGCCUCACGUGGACCACCCGCUGUCGGUCCUGAAAGGGGCCCCGAGGGCAGGGGAGCCGCGCUGUGACCGCGGGGCAGGCCUCACCGAGGACGCCGAGGGAGGUGGAGGAGGAGGCCGGGCUCGCGGGCGUGUGAGAGCUGCCGGACGCCUCGAGGAGGCUGCAGAAACCACCCCAUGAUGGCAUCUCCUAGGGUGAGGGCACGUUCUCCCCAGACUCUGAUGACCCGAGCAGCCCUGUCACUGCAAGACCUGGCGUCGCAUGUGACCAUGAGGGCUGCAGUGUCAGCAUGGUGGGUCCAGGCACUGCCUGCCAUCCUCUGGCAGAAGGAAAGUGUGUUGCCCACAUCCUUGACUCUCCACGUCUGGUCGCCUGGAUGUGGACCCACCCUCCUGCUGCCGCUGAGACAUGGCUUCCAGAACCCUGCAGGGAGAGCCCGCGCUGCAGCCGCUCCCAAGUCCGUCCUGGCCGCUGUUUACCUGGAAUCAUCCCGUGGGUCCCGCCAAGCAGAUGUUAGAGAUCUUCUCCUGGAACCACAGGCCGGGCCCACAUGGCCGGCAGACGCCCACCCCACUCCCGAGAGGACCUUGUUUAACCAGGGUCCCCAUGCGCUGCGUCUGCAAGAAGCCUGCCCAACUGCGGACUUGGCGGCCAUCCCAAGAGGGCUGUCACUGAAACUGACCACAGUGGGCGAAGGGCUCUGGGGGAAGAUCUCAACAGUGGGACCGCUGGCCUCAAGGCAAAACUCAAGGCCAUCAGCUGUUUGGGUAAAAUGCAAUGAUGUCCAUGAAAUUGUCAUUAAACUCUUGCUUGCGUGAAUAAUUGAGCAUGAGAUCCACGUGCACUGACUUCCUGGGGCCUGCUCAGGAGGGAGGCUGGGGCGACCUGGGCUUCAGGUGCCGGGCUCUGAGGGAGUCCGCAAACGCCCAGGGACCGAGGGGCCAAAGCAGGUCUGCACACUUGCCAGGCCCAGGAGCUGCUCCUUUAUCUCUUCUCAGGGAAGGCAUUUUCUGCCCAUUUCCUGCUCUGCCUGGCCCAGCAGGAAGGGCGCGGUGAGAGGAGCAGAUGGGAGGAAGAGACAGAAAAGCAAGAGGCCUUGAGGGUUGGAGUUGAAGUCCCGCUAAACCCAAGGUACACGUCAUGAUUCUGCAGCUUGCUAGCUGUGUGACCUUUAGCAAUUCACUGUACCUCUCUGAGCUUCAAUUUCCUUAUCUGAAAAAUAAGGACCGUAACUCUCAUCUUUUCAGAAAUGUUGAUCAAUUUCUCCAGGUCCGUCCCUCCCUGCCCAGCCCACAGCCCUGAUAAGUUCUCUCCCCCCUCCCACCAUCACCACCAACCCUCAGCUUAUUAGCAGCAUUGAGGUGGACACCUGGUCCACACUGGACAAAUAUCAGAUUUUCCCUCCCAGGAGUCUCGGUUUGGAACAUGGAGACAGUCAUUAAGCUGUGGAAGCCAGCUGGAAGAGCACGUGGCUCAGGGAUGGAGGCCGCCAUUUUGGCAUGGCCUUGGUGGAUGGGAAGUGAGCAGAAAGCCGGCUACAGCAGGAGGGAAAAAGAUGGGUAGAGGGAGCUAGAGAUGAGUCAGACUGCAGAUCCAGUCAGAGACAGAGGCAGACACAGAGACAGGGAGGGGCCCUGUCAGGUGACCCAAGACCCAGGACAUUGGCUGUACUUUCCACUGUGGGGUCUAAGGGGGCCCUGUGUCCUUCCACUAAACCAUGUUUCUCCGUGAGCUCCUUUGUGUGGGUCUGUGAACCAGUUAGGGUUCCUCUCUGUUGCACGUGUCAGAAAACUCAACCCAAACUGACUUCAGCAAAGG